UGUUAUGUAGAACUGGUCAGUGAUGAACCAUCAUCAUGCAUGACAAGUUUGAGGCAGAUUGGACAAUGUAUGGUCAAGUUAUAAGGUAUCAUGCUUUAUGAAAAAACGCCAUGUCCUUUAAAUUAGAAUGUCUGUCUUGGAGGAGGGAGGCUUUGGUAGCUAAGCAACCAGGUGGCCAGGUGGAGUUGACCAAUCACAGCAGAGCAAUCAACUGAAAUGAACUGCUGGUGGAGACCUAUUUUAUACAGUCUAUGGUGGAGACAGUUCCGCCACAGUGAGCAGGCAGAGCUGGACUAUAGCGUCAUAUUUGAGUCAUUGUUUGAUCUUCGCGCACAUAUUCAGCAACUGAGUGAAGCAGACUCUCCCCCGUGCACGCUCGCGGUGGAGCUCUGCUCCCGCGGAGCGAGGACUCUUUACACAUUGGGGGCGGGGCCAAGGCUGACCCCAGGCCUCUUAUGAUUGGUCAUUUUCCAGCCCUCCACGUGGGUGCCUUUUCAGUUUGCUGCUGACAGCUGGUAGCGGCGGCAUCAAUUAAACAACAACAACGGUUGUUUCAUGACGUUCACGACCACAAGUCUACGCUUCAUCACUGAUAAUGAAAAGGUUAAAAAAAAAUGCUGUUUCUUGUUUCUAAAUGAUCAUACAGUAGUUAAAGUGUUAGAUCCAUGGGUUUGCCGUGACACCGAGCAGAGACCUGCAGUCCAGCGGUGCAGGCUGUCUCUCUGAAGCAGAGGAUGGCGGUCGUCUUAAUUUAUGUCAGUCUUCUCAGACAGCCCACAAACAUUGGAAGACUUUCUGAUCAGAGACUGGAGCGGUGGUCCGGAGAGAGGAGGAUGUGGAGCCGGAGCUCGUCUGGGGGGCGGAGCUCGGCAGCACCUGGUGUCGUUGUGUCCUGAACAUAGACUGAAGAGUCUGAAUCUGCUGUCAGGAGGCUGACCUGGACCAUACCAUGCGUGGUGAAGCAUGUGUAACAAAUGUUCGCACAUUUGGAGUACUGUGCCGGGAAGAGGACGUGCUGUCGCUGAAGGAUGUCCGAGCGGAGACACCGGAGCGUCCUGUCAACAGCAGAUAAAUACUACUUCACCUAAGAGACUUGAGUAUCCAGUUCUUCGUUGACCUUGAGCAUUCAGUUGUUUGUCUUCACCUUUUCAGGUAAGCAAUUUUAAAAAAACGCUUUUGUAAUGUUGAGAAACACUGAAAUUAUUAUUCAUAAAGAACUUUCAACCACUGUUCUGUGAUGUCAUGUAUAGUGAUAUACAAAUAUAUCUGAAGGAAAGGUGUAUUUGGGAUAAUCAAUAUUAUUAGUAUUAUUCAUGUAUUUAUUCAUUUUUAAAUCAGAGAAUGGGGGAAAAUAGAUUAUUAGUACAAAAACUAGUAACUAGUAAAAAAAAAAUUGGUAAAAAUAAUGUUCAUUCAUUAAUUGACGCUUGGUCAAACUCUCAUCUAAUUAAGUAUUGCUGUCUCAUUAAUGUAUUAAUGUAUUUUUUUAUUUUGUAGGCUAAAACCUGAGAAGCCAUCACCAUGUUGUUGUUUCACAUCAGAAUAAGUAUUUCACAUGAUGCAGAUUUUUCAGCAUGUGGUCCUCAAUAUAUAGUAUAGAAGUCGCUGUAUUUUCUGACUUUUCCAGGUUUCCUGUGUCCAGCAUCUUCAAGACAGACUAAGCUAACUUUUCAUAUUUUUUGCACAUUUAUAUUUAGGUUAGGAGUAGGUUAGGUUUAUAGUAGAGUAUUUAGUUUGUAUAGUUUAGCUUUUUAUUCUGGUCUAGGGACAGUUAAGUUAGCAAAUUAAUUUAGUUCAGAUCACUUACAGUUGCAUAUUAUUGUUACAAUUGUGUUAUUUUGUGAGUUAUUGUUGUACAGGCUAUUGUAUAUUGCAGGACCAAGUGAGACGAGGAAGACCACUGCUUCCAAGAUGCCGCGCUCAGAAAGUGCGUUGGACAAGUCUUGACCUUGCAGAUCCUGCCCCACUUAGCCCAACCACUUCCGACCAUGGGGUACCUCAAAGACCUCCGUCAACCAGCCGGCUGUGGAUGAUGGAUAACGGACCCACAACUCCUUCUCCAGUCUACAAGACACCCCCACAGUCCAAGAACAGCUGGAUGACCUCUGGACCCACUUGCCCCCGUUCACCAGUUGAAAAGAUAGGCUUUUUAAAAAAUUCUUCAAUUGUUAAUUCUGCACAAAGUGAUACACAAAACAUUGUAUGUCUUCCAUUUCAACAAACACAAACAUGAAAUGUAUAUUUAAAUACAUAACUUAAUGCAAAUCAAUCAUACUAAACAUCAUCUUCUUUUUUUUUAAACCAACCAUUGCACGCACUUCCAUCCAAGGAGAGGUUACAUCUUGAUGGAAGGAGUUCUCAGAGACGUCCUGGUAUGUAGACUUGCUAGAUGAUUUCAUCUGAAGGAGUUCCAAGAUCCAGAAACAUGGAUCACCUCGUUCCACGACGCUGGACUGCACUAUGAGAGGGCACGAAUAUCAAGCCUUUGUGGGAUCACUAUGAACGCCCUAAGGCGAAAAGCUGGGACAGAUCUUUCCGGCAAUAUAGCGGGACAUUUGCAGGACGGCACUAUGAAAGAGGCUUCUUUGCCUUCUGUGAUAUCUGACUUCCAGCACCGACAAAGUGACCGAUAUCUCUUUGAAUGGACUGACCCCAUAGUACAUCAAGGACCUCAUCCAAAUCUAUACUCCAGCGCUCAAAUUGAGGUCCGAGGGCCAGCUCCAGCCCGUGGUGCCUUGAGCUAGAUUUAAAACCAGGGGGGACAGGGCUUUCUCUGUGGUGGGCCCCAGACUUUGGAAUGCCCUCCCCCUCCAUGUCCCAACAGCCCCCACGGUGGAGUGCUUUAAGUCUCGUCUUAAGACCCAUUUUUAUUUCCUGGCUUUUUAACUUUGCUUGAGUUUUGUGGUCCUCUGUGUCUUUUAUUUAUUUUACUACUUCAAACUACGUCUUUUAUUUAUUUUACUAUCUGUUUGAUUUUAUUGUUUUAUUUAUAGCAUCAUUUUAGAGUAAUACACUUUUUAUUUAUUGCUGAUUGUUAUAUGGAAAUGUUUGUUUUAUUGUUGAUUCUAUGUACAGCACUUUUGAGACAUUUUUGUUGUUUAAAUGUGCUAUACAAAUAAAGUGGAUUGGAUUGAAGUAAAAUCAUGUAGAGUGGUUGUCUUACUGCAGUAACUUCCUCAUAGACACUGUGUAGCUUAAGGCUACAAGAAGUUGAGAGUCUAUAUUUUAAUGUUCAAAAUCCACACCCCAGUCAACUCUCCCUUGUUCAGCCAAUAG